rnacentral:lncRNA from 1 species
UAAGUUAUUCCUUCUUAUUCAAAUGAACAGUGCUGCUGGGGACAAAGGAGUUUUGUCACAUGCAGUUAGCAUUUAGACUUAGAUCCUGCUUGAGAUUCUUUCACACCAAGAUUUAAGUAACAAAAAUGCUGUUUUGUUCGAACAUCACUGGUUUGCAUAUUUUUCCCCCACUGACUUUAUUAGACAAUAUAAAAAGACUUAUCAGUAGGGAACCAAAUGAGUUGCAGUUGCCUGUCCUUAGAAUUUUCUUCACAUCAUCAUGUCCCUGACACGAUGGUUUUGGAAUGACCCAGUGCAUGUAGAAGGAGUUGAUGGGAAUGAAGAGAAGAAUGACAAGAAACAGUGAUACUCAUGCAAAGCCUAGCUUCUUCUCUGCAGAACUUAGGAGUCUAGAAAGAUAAACUGUAAUUAGAAAUAUUAUAAUGGAUAAUAUAUCUGACCUAGGGAAAGGCAAAAGCCCUGAGUGAGUGUUGGUAGGUUGCAUACUGAUGGUGUGAGUGCAGUGGGAGGGAAGAAAAUUAGGAGCUAAUAAAACUCUCUAG